CACGGCCCUGCGAGAAAGACGGUCCAGGUAGAGAGGGCAGGGUCAUCUGUACCCAGCUGUUUGUCUAUGAAGAGUGAUCAUUCAAUGAGUGAUCCAAUCAACUUCAGAGGAGAGUUCACAGGUGAUCAAAGGGUCCGGGUAAAGAAGGCAGAGUCACCUGUACCCAGCUGUCUGUCUAUGAAGAGUGGUCAUUCAAUGCUUCUUCCAUACAACUUCAGAGGAGAGUUCACAGGUGAUCAAAGGUAAGGAAACAAGUUUAAACUGACACUAUGGU